rnacentral:lncRNA from 1 species
GCUCACUGCUCCCACGGUGUCCUUACCAGCACAACUUACCCCAUCCCUCCCUAGCCCACUCUUGAGGAUACUUUCUUGCCACUGUCAGGCUUACUCCUGCCUCCUAGACUGAGGAAAGAAAAGCCUCCUGGUUUGGAGCUCAUAAUCAAGUCAGCCUUGCUGCAGGGCUCAUUUUAAGCCAGUAUCCUGGACCAGAAUAUUUCACUGAUUGCCUUGCCCGCUUCUCAAAGGCCCACUUCUCUGUGGAAUGAUGCAGUUGCUAAGAAGAGCUGUUAAUGUCAUGACCUCAAUGAAUAAAAAAGACUUCCUUUUCUCCAUGCCCACUCAAGUAAAAGGCUUCUCUCUGAACUCCUGCUAAUUUUUCAUCAGCAAAGGUGCACAGCCUUUUGGAAGUGAAAUGAUUACUAGUGAAGAAAAAGAAAGAACCUAACACUUAUUUUACAAGCCUCCCAGUGACCACUCUUCAGACAAAACUUCUUAUAAUAGCUUCCUUCCCUGAAUCUUUUGCGAAACAUCAAAUCACAAAGAGAUCUUAUUAUGCCAUUAAGAAUAUUUAAUUCAUGGGAGGAGGUCAAAAUAUCAACAUUAGCUGGAUUUUGGAAAAAGUGGAUUCCAACCCUCAGUGGACGACUUUGUGGAAUUCAAGACUCCAAUAGAGGAAGUCACCACAAAUAGCAAAAGAACAAGAAUUACCUGUGCAGCCUGAAGACGGGACUGAAUUGCUGCAAUUGUAACAUCAAAUGUUAAAUCUGAACCAGACCAUGUCCUGAAACAAAAGAGGAAGAAUCUUUGGGGAGCUGUGCUGAUGGUUUUGGAUUUCUCCAAAGGAAGAAUGCUUUGCCUGAGUCUUGUAUCCUUGGAAUUAUUAGGAAUGUUUGCCAUUAAAUAAGAUCUGAUUCAUGUGAGUUUGAGUUGACAGCUCUACCCUAUGUGUUAUCUCAGAACUCUAUACAGCAAACUAUAGAAUAUUGUUGAGAUAAAUUAAAUGAAACCUUUCCAAAUGGAAAGAUAUAUAUCAUUUUAUAGAUUGGAAAACUUAAUACUAAAAAGUGAUAGAUUCAAUACAAUGGAAUCUAUUGUUUCUAAAAUGUGCAUUUGUGUUAGUUUAUGUAUGUAUAUAAAAAUUGAAAAGCUAAUUUUAAAAAUACACAUGAAAAUAAAAGGGCCAAGAAGAACUGAGA